rnacentral:rRNA from 1 species
AAUGAACGCUGGCGGCACGUUUUAAGCAUGCAAGUCGGACGGUAUAAAGUGCUUCGGUACUUUAGAGAGUGGCGGACGGGUGAGUAACACGUAGGUGAUCUACCUCUGGAUGGGGGAUAGCCCAUGGAAACAUGGGGUAAUACCGCAUGAAGCCUGUAUCUUUCGGGGUAUGGGUUAAAGGUGCAAUUGUGCUGUCUGGAGAUGAGCCUGCGGCCCAUUAGUUAGUUGGCAGGGUAAGAGCCUACCAAGGCGAUGAUGGGUAGCCGGCCUGAGAGGGCGUACGGUCACACUGGGACUGAGACACGGCCCAGACUCCUACGGGAGGCAGCAGCUAAGAAUCUUCCGCAAUGGGCGCAAGCCUGACGGAGCGACGCCGCGUGGACGAAGAAGGCCGAAAGGUUGUAAAGUUCUUUUGCAGGUGAAGAAUAAGGUAGGGAGUGGAAUGCCCUGCUGAUGACGUUAGCCUGCGAAUAAGCCCCGGCCAAUUACGUGCCAGCAGCCGCGGUAACACGUAUGGGGCGAGCGUUGUUCGGAAUUAUUGGGCGUAAAGGGCGUGUAGGCGGUUCUGUAAGCUUGGUGUUAAAACUGCAGGCUUAACCUGUAGGUGGCGCUGGGAACUGCAGGACUAGAGUUCGGGAGGGGGAGCUGGAAUUCCUGGUGUAGGGGUGAAAUCUGUAGAUAUCAGGAAGAACACCGGUGGCGAAGGCGAGCUCCUAGCUAUGGACUGACGCUGAGGCGCGAAAGCGUGGGGAGCGAACAGGAUUAGAUACCCUGGUAGUCCACGCUGUAAACGAUGUGCACUAGGCGUUGGGUGUGGAUGAAGCACUCGGUGCCGUAGCUAACGCGUUAAGUGCACCGCCUGGGGAGUAUGCCCGCAAGGGUG